UACCAGCACCCCGAGUGGUCGGGACGAUUAUUGGGCCUAAAGCAUCCGUAGCCGGCCUUACAAGUCCCCCGUUAAAUCCAACUGCUUAACAGAUGGGCUGCGGAGGAUACUAUAGAGCUAGGAGGCGGGAGAGGCAAGCGGUACUUAGUGGGUAGGGGUAAAAUCCGUUGAUCCAUUGAAGACCACCAGUGGCGAAGGCGGCUUGCCAGAACGCACUCGACGGUGAGGGAUGAAAGCUGGGGGAGCAAACCGG
rnacentral:rRNA from 1 species